UACGAAGGGGGGCUAGCGUUGCUCGGAAUGACUGGGCGUAAAGGGCGCGUAGGCGGUUUGUACAGUCAGGUGUGAAAUUCCCGGGCUCAACCUGGGGGCUGCACUUGAUACGUAGGAACUGGAGUGGGGGAAGAGGGUCGUGGAAUUCCCAGUGUAGAGGUGAAAAUUCGUAGAUAUUGGGAAGAACACCGGUGGCGAAGGCGGCGACCUGGUCCUUGACUGACGCUGAGGCGCGAAAGCGUGGGGGAGCAAACAGG
rnacentral:rRNA from 1 species